GUAAACCCAAGGUUUCCAGGGGAAGGUUCGUCCGCCCUGGGUUAGUCGGGACCUAAGCUGAGGCCGAAAGGCGUAGGUGAUGGACAACAGGUUGAUAUUCCUGUACUACCGAUAACCGUUUGAGGGAUGGGAUGACACAGUAGGAUAAGCUAAGCACACUGUUGGUUAUGUGUGCCCAAGCAUUGAGGCAGUCAAAGUAGGCAAAUCCGCUUUGAUAAUGCUGGGAUGUGAUGGGGAGCGAAAUUUAGUAGC
rnacentral:rRNA from 1 species